CACAAAUACAGGGAAUCCACUGUUCACUCGGACAGAGUCUUCCCUGUAUUUGUACGGCGUCUCACAAGUACAAGAGUUCAAACAUGAUACAACCACAACCAGAUGAACAUACAAAUAACCAACAGUUAUAUAUUCAUACACCAUUCACCACAUUUUAACAUUUAUACAUUCAGUAUUUAAACAUAAAUCCAUAUCUAUCAGUUAAAAUGUUUCCAACCACAGAAACAGGUUUUGAAAUACUAAGAUACAAAAUCCACAGAAAAUCUUUUGAAAGCUGUUCCCUAUACGAGAACUUUUAUCUUUUUAAAAAACGCUACCACGAGGGGUAGAAAACUAUUUUUAUUUCAUGAAGACACAAUGAAGACACAAAAUCCUUUAUUACAUUACAAAACCAACUGAAAACAUCAAUAUCCAGAUAGUAAAAUAAAAUUGAACCAUAAUAUGUCUAACUUAGUUAUUUAUUUAAGCAUGAAGAGUAAGGGGAGAUAAACCAAACCACGGGACGGAAAGUUCUAUCGUAUGCUAGACUCGAUCCUCACCAGCUGUCCCACUCGGACCUCUUACGUCACCUGUAAUGGGGGCGGGGGGUGAGAACAUAUAAACAUGUCCCCCCUCCCAGUGGGUACCGCAAGCCGAAGAAGGCGAGGGGUACUCACUAGUCACGGAGAUAAACAAGUAUAUAGAUAAUGGUAGUACAGUAGCUAAGAUAAACAAGUACUGAAAUGUAUAUGAAUAAACCACUACAGCUACUGUAUGCAUGCAUCAACGGGACAAUCAGUCCAAAAGUAUCCAAUCUGAAAUGGCCGUAUUGGUACCCAACACCUCAGGCCUAUGCCAUAUCUGCUCUGACAGAAACAAGCCAUAUUGGUACCCAACACCUCAGGCUGAAAGCAUAUAACCUCACAAGGGCUCACGGGUUGACACAAGCAACCACUUUUUCGGAAAAGAACACCCUCUUGCGGUGGAUCAGACCGCUGGUGUUUGUGAAAUGCGUGUGAGCAGUGGCGAUCGAUGCAGAAUGCUCAAUAGCCAAACGUCGGCAACGAGCCGACAAUCCUGCCCACUCAGGGAACACUUACCAUAUGGGUCCUCAUGUAACAAAAUCGACCAACCAGGUCACAAGUAUAGAAUAUGAACUCGACCAACCAUGUCACAAGUAUAGGAUACGAAACUCGACCAGCCAGGUCGUAGAUACAAUAUAGGAGAAUUGAUCAACCAGGUCACAGAUACAAAUAGGAGAAUCGACCAACUAGGUCAUAGAUAUCAUAAACGGAUAAAAUAUACUCUACUCCUACACAUGAUACUACACAUGGAAACAUCUAAGUAGAGUAAAUAAGGAAAUAGCAUGGGUGCAGGGCUCAACAUGUAUAAGGUAAGUGAUAUGAAUAACAAGGGUAAAGGAAACGUCACCGAGCGUGCACCACUGUACCGACUUCGGAUCGAAGUACCCACCUGUACGUGUCUGACGAAGAUCUCUCGACUGUGAAGACGGAACAAUCGAACCUACGAAAGGUCCAACGGGUUAGAAUCUAACCCACUAACAUGUCUCGCUAACACACAAUCCCCACUCACCAAAACCAUGAGAACUGGUUUUCCCAAAACCGAUUACCGAACAAGCCGGAAGUCCCGAAAACCGCACCGGAACUCCACCGUCGCUCACCCGUCAUUUCCGAACCCUCGAAAUGAUGCGGGUGACCAGCCAACAAGGCUCAGUGACGUCGCAAAUAAUCACCAAGUACCGUCGGAAGAAUUCCGAACCGAAACCGCGUUCUAUCGGCAGAUUUUACCGAGAAACGCUCCGAAAAUCACUUUUCGAUCUUCGCAGGGGCUUGGGGCCUUGGACGAUCAGUCCAGAGGUUAUCCUCAGCCCAAACAUGCUGCCAACAGCAGCCCCGACAAACAGAAUUGCAUAAAAGCCCUCCCAGAUACACAAAAUCACAUCAUUUUAUGUGAUUUUAGGGCUUUUAUGGUCCGUGCACACAAACUAGAGGUCGAUUAAUCAGACCGUCACACUCGUUGAUAGGUUUCAGCGUGUCGGAGGCCGUGCUCACCUUUCAGAGCACUGCCGGCCACUGUGGCAUGCGCACGAGCGACGCAAAAAUCAGCAAAACAGCGCGCACAGCGCUAAGAUUAUGUCUAAUACACCAACCAGGGCAUCUCAGCCUUUAACAGAGGUGAGCAUGAUGUUCAGCACGAAACAACGAUGAUCAUGCUCACCUCUACAUUCGUCGGGGUGCUUUCGGAUCACUUAAAAGGCGACCGGAACCCCAAAAUAUAAUGCUGGAACCGUAAUUACAGCCUUACCAGAACAGUGGAGCUAGGGUUGGUCACCGGCGGCCGGACGGUGGGUGGUUUGGCCGGGGAAGUGUGGUGCUCCCCGCUGUGGGCGGCGGCAACGCGUGGAUAGGAGGGAAGCCCAGCCUCGGCCCGCACCAAGUUUGGGCCGCUGUAGGGAGCUNAGAAUCGACCAACCAGGUCACAGAUAUCAUAUACUGAUGAAAUCUACUCUACUCCUACACAAGAUACUAAACAUGGAAACAAACGAGUAGAGUAAAUAAGGAAAUAGCAUGGGUACAGGGCUCAACAUGUAUAAGGUAAGUGAUAUGAAUAACAAGGGUAAAGGAAACGUCACCAAGCGUGCACCACUAUACCGACUUCGGAUCGAAGUACCCACCUGUACGUGUCUGACGAAGAUCUCUCGACUAUGAAGACGGAACAAUCGAACCUACGAAAGGUCCAAUGGGUUAGAAUCUAACCCACUAACAUGUCUCCCUAACACACAAUCCCCACUCACCAAAACCAUGAGAACCGGUUUUUCCCAAUACCGAUUACCGAACAAGCCGGAAGUCCCGAAAACCGCACCAACUCCACCGUCGCUCACCCGUCGUUUUCGAACCCUCGAAACGAUGCGGGUGACCAGCCAACAAGGCUCAGCGACGUCGCAAAUAAACACCAAGUACCGUCGGAAGAAUUCCGAACCGAAACCGCGUUCCAUCGGCAGAUUUUACCGAGAAACGCUCCGAAAAUCACUUUUCGAUUUUCGCAAGGGCUUGGGGCCUUGGACGGUCAGUCCAGAGGUUACCUCAGCCCAAACAUACUGCCAACAGCAGCCCGACAAACAGAAUUGCAUAAAAGCCCUCCAAGAUACACAAAAUCACAUCAUUUUAUGUGAUUUCAGGGCUUUUAUGGUCCGUGCACGCAAACCAGAGGUCGAUUAAUCAGACCGUCACACUCGUUGAUAGGUUUCAGCGUGCUGGAGGCCGUGCUCACCUUUCGGAGCAUUGCCGGCCACUGUGGCAUGCGCACGAGCGACGCAAAAAUCAGCCAAACAGCGCGCACAGUGCUAAGAUUACGUUUAAUACACCAACCAGGGCAUCUCAGCCUUUAACAGAGGUGAGCAUGAUGUUCAGCAUGAAACAACGAUGAUCAUGCUCACCUCCACAUUCAUCGGGGUUCUUUCGGAUCAUUAGAAAGGCGACCGGGACCCCAAAAUGAAAUGCUAGAACUGUAAUUACAGCCUUACCAGAACAAUGAAGCUAGGGUUGGUCGCCGGCGGCCGGACGGCGGGCGGUUCGGCCGGGGAGGGGUGCAUCCGGUCGGAAGGGUCCAAGGCAGGUGCUGGCUGGCGGCGGGAGGCGGUAGGUGGCGCGGCGGCUGAGAUCAACUCACGGCUUGCUCUCGGGUUCAAAUGGUCCGCAGCGGCCCAGCGGCGGCCGGAGGAGCUCUGGGCGACGACGAUCCGUCGCCGGAGGCCGUGGGAAGUGUGGUGCUCCCCGCUGUGGGCGGCGGCGACGCGCGGAUUGGAGGGAAGCCCAGCCUCGGCCCGCACCAAGUCUGGGCGGCCGCAGGGAGCUCGGACGGCGGCCGGCGGCGUGCGGGGAGACGGAGCUAUAGGAGAACCGAGAGGAGGCCGGGGUGGCUUUUCCGGCGGCCGGAGCUGCUCGCCGGCGGUCCGGGUGUGCGUAUAGGCAGGGGAGGGUGUAGGUGGGGCGGCUAGUAUUAGCUAGGUGAACGUGGGCAGCCAAAGAACCAUGGAAACCCUAGAUGCCCCUUUUAUACAAGGUGUCAUUUUGCGAGAAACCCCUUCAAAGUCAAAUAAUUAUAAUCCUGCCCCUGCCUGCGUGUGUAACUUGCAGGCGAGCCCCUCGACAUUCAAAAUCUCGUGAAAUGACGCAUAAAAUACAUGGUCUUUUCGCGAUUAAUCGAUUCUGCCAAAUUGACCUCUCAGCGGACUUUUCACGAUUCCCGAAGAUCCGUCCGUCGAAUUUCCGAACGGAUUGCGCCAGCGCGUUCAGCACGACUGGGGCAUCGAAUCUAGCAUUUUAUUUCAUCUGAUUUGGUCUCUGAUCAGCGACGAAACCUGCCCUCUCUAUUUUCACCAUAUAACCACUUAUAUUAAUACGUGUAAUUUCAAUCAAACCCCUUUUUUCUUGACAACCGUGCAUCAGAACCCAAUUCCGUCAGUGCCAUUGGGUCCAGAAUGGUCGAGCCAUUCGAAACGAGCUAUUGAAGUCCUAUAUUCGGAGUUCAACGUACACCAAAACCCUUCUCUAAUCCUUGGCUCAUCCGGAAAGCCGGAGUUACUAUUCACUUAAGUCGUCGGUUCGGGUCGCGUAACUUCGCCGUCUUAGGUCAUUUUCUCCUGAAAUUUGACGAGUGGUUUAGUAAUUACAUUACACACAAAAACAUCAUCAACCAAGGGUUUAAUUUUAUUUUUCAAAAACUUCGGUUAUUACAGAAUAUGACAAGUAUAAAUGCACAUGUUAUAUACAAUGCAUGUUCGACCUCUAUGUAGUAGAGAGUUUUCGUGUUGAGCUUGGCCUUAUGGAUAGCAUUCUUAAUUGUGGCUUUGGAUCAUGUUGCAUCUAGUGAAUAUAACAAGUAUAAAUGCACAUGUUAUAUACAAUGCAUGUUGGACCUCUAUGUAGUAGAGAGUUUUCGUGUUGUGCUUAGCCUUAUGGAUAGCAUUCUUAUUUGUGACUUUGGAUCAUGUUGCAUCUAGUGAAUAUGACAAGUAUUAUACACUCUUGGAUUUGAAACUCAUGCUUGACAUAGAUGAUCAGUUAAUGUCAUAAAGUGGCAUUAGACUUGAGUAAUGCAUGUUAUAGUAAGCUAAUGUCAUAAAGAAACAUUGGGCUUGGAAUUGGUAUAGUAGGCUAAUGUCGUAAUGAGACAUUGGUCUUGGAAUUGGUAUAGUAAGUUAAUGUCAUAAAGAGACAUUGGGCUUGGAAUUGGUAUAGUAAGCUAAUGUCAUAAAGAGGUAUUGGGCUUGGAAUUGAUGUAGUAAGCUAAUGCCAUAAAGAGGCAUUAGGCUUGGAAUACGUAUGGACUUAGUAAAUCUAAGGUCGCAUGAGACAUUAAAAUUAUUGAACGGUUAAACCUUCACUUGGGGAUAUUAAACUAGACCUACGAGUUGCUAGCGAUUAUUUCUAUGGUUGAGCCAUGAUGACCGGAUCGUUGUGACGAUGACUAUGCUUGCUUGCCAUUUGUGCUCAUUCGCAUAUGCUUGUGAGGGUCGCUCCCUACAAGCCGGCACUCCGAAGUUAGCCUUUGCGACGCAGUUCGCUCGUGCGGGAUCGAGACGCCUGUAGGGUCGUGUGGAAUAGCCUCAUUCCCAGCGUGGGAUGAUGAGCUACCACAGGCAGCUAGGCGGUGAGACGCCUGUAGGGUCGUGUGGGACAGCCUCAUUCCUAGCAUAGAAUGAUGAGCUACCACAGGCAGCUAGGCGGCACAAGCUGCACUACACACGUGUAGAUCCUAAAUGAGAUUGAACGAGAAUAUUAAAUAACAUUAUGACAAUCACUACUUGAUAGUAUAUCGUAGUUGGAUUUAGUGGACAUUGGGACAUGUACUAUUGCUUUCGCAUAAUAGUAUACUUGGUGGCCAUGAUAAAGCAUAUUAAUUAUGUAUUGGUAUAUUGGAUCAUGAUGGGGUAGAUGUACACUACGUUGACAUCAUGUGAUAUUGCGGCAUUGUAAAUUACCAUUUCAUUACAUGCUUUUCCUAUUUGCAGUUUACUAGUAGUUCCUUUAUCUACUUAUGCUUUUGGGCUUAGUAGUGCAUUUUGCUCAGGUCAGUAAUUGCCCACUGGGAACUAUAAAUUAUAGUUCUCACGCCCCCUGUUUCAUGUUUUCUUUCAGAGCCUUCCACCUUGGGAGAGGCUCGGGAUCACGGGAAAGGAAUCGCCUCGAGAUAGCUAGCGAGGAAUUCGACGAUAAGUGGUCUACCUCUCUUCUGAGUUUUGUUUGGAGAUGUUGAGAGACUUGUACCAUUUUUAUAGAGACCACCACCUAUAUGUAGCUUGAGACUUAUGAUGUAUUAUUUUACGUUUUGCCUUAGUGGUUUAGUUUUCUUUGUUUCUACCUGUUGUUAGAACCUAGCUGUAUACUUGCUCUGAUAUCUCUAGAUACACUCUAUUUAUUGUUCAUUUAUUCACUAUUGUUGUAGACGUCUUAUAUGUAUAGGCAUAUGGCGGGUUUGGGAACGCACCGGGCGGGCCUAGGCCGGGUCCCGAGGCGUGACAGGAACGGAUCAGGAGACGCCAAGAGGCUGUGGAGCAAUUGGUAACUGCACCGAUUAUGAUGCACUGCGCGCAGCCGGGGGUUGCGGCCGAAACCAUUCAGACUGGGCGAAGCAAUCUGGCUCCUGGCUAUGCGGAGAUGCAGGCGGAGAGGGAGCGAGCUCUGGUGGCCCUCAUGACCUUCAGGAGAUUCAAUCCACCUAUCUUUGAUGGAGAGACCGUAGAUCCGUAGGUUGUGGAAAUGUGGAUUGAUUCCAUAAAGACCUUAUUUGAGGAUCUGUACACCUUGGAGCGAGACAAUGAACACCUAGCCGCACAUUGCUUGGAAAAGUCAGCAAAGGUGUGGUGGAAAGGGGUCAAGUGGGACCAAACCCCCAGUUGUCCUCCGGUCACUUAGGUAGAGUUCCGAGGAUUGGUAUUUUCUACUUUUUUCCUCAACAGUGAAAAGAGAAAGCUUCAGGAAAUGUUCAAAAAAUUGCGGCGAGGGAACCACAUGGUGAGAGAGUAUGAGAGGGAAUUCUCUCACAUUGUAAAUUUUAUUCCAUACGUGGUGCGGGAUGACAAGGACAAGGCAAAUUGUUUUGAGCGGGAACUUCGGCCAAAAAUUUUUGAGGUUGUGCAUCCUUUCAAGAUGCAAGCUUUUGCCAAGGACUUGGACCGGGUCUUGUGUGUAGAAUAAGACAAUGCAUUUGUGCGGUAGGAGCACACAUGUUAUGACAAGGAAAAAAGGAAAAAACGACCAUCGAGCGAACAUGGUGGUUAGUCGAGUUCUGGACAAACUCUAACAUGUUUGCGCUCACGAUCCUGAGUCUCGGGGAGCUACCAUACUCGAUCCUUUGCGAGAUGUUUAUUUGUGGGGGGUCCUCAUCGCCCAUAAUAGUGUGAACAAUGAGAGGGAAAGUGCUUUGGAUACGGUCAACCGGGCCAUAUGCGGGAUGAGUGCCUGCAGGGGGAUAACCGGGCCCUGACACUUACGAUAGCUUUCUCCUCUUCGAGAUAGCUUACAAGUACACAACCUACGGCAUGGUCUAGAGAACAUGAGUUGAUGUUGAGGCAACCGAGGGGUUGCGGUAGGCGCCAGGUGGCCAUGAGUACGCGACUAAGGUUGUGGAGCCUAUUGCUAUCAAUGAUGUUGUGGUAGGUAUGAUUUAAUUGAAGAAAUUAUAUGUAAAGCAUGAUGUGACAUUAGAGCAUUGCAUACAAUUAUUAUGUGGUCGUUUACUACUAUUUAGGUAUAAAUAUAGUAGGGACCAAAGUUAUGGGUAAGUAUAGAUAUCCGAGCAUGCUCGUGUCAUGGAAGUGUAUCGCCUGUUGGAGCAGGUAAGAAAUUAGAUUGUGAGAUCCCUGGUGUUUGACUGUGGAGGCUUGUCGACAGCUCUGGAGAGUGUCGGGACAAGUCCGAGUUGCGUUGGCGUCAAAUAGACGUAAAACGGACUCCGUGCAACGCGAGGGCAGCUUAUCGCGAAGAAUUCUGCAAAACAGCAGCAUUCUCUGCUUACUGUACCGGUACAAGCUUAGUGGCUGUACCGGUACAACCAGCGCGAAACAGCUCAAAUGCUCUCGGGUUGGCUCUUGUACCGGUACAGGAUCCCGUGUACCGGUACAAGGGAGUAGGUAGAGGGCUAAAACAGUAAAAUCUCACCUCGUUUGUAUCUCCGUCACCUCCCCUCUCCUCUUAAGUGUCCGAGCAGAGAGAGAGGGAGUACUUCCUGCUCCUCUCCAUUCUCUUCUUCUCCUCUCUCUCUCUAGGUGUUGGUGGAGAGUCCGGUUGGGGUUUUCGUCGCCGACGUCGCGCCGCGAGCCGUUCGAGCGCACUUGCUGCCGGAGCUUUGCAAGGAGGCCGGGCGAGGGAGCGUCUUCACUGUUCUUGACGUCGCGCCGAGGUUCGACGCUGUCGAGGUGGGUGGUUCGGCGUCUUUUCUGGAUUUUGGGCAAGUGCUACUAUUUCUACUCGGUUAGUAGCUGUUUUGCUGAAAUCCGCCGUCGACUGUUCGUAUUUCAGCUCGUUCUCCGCGUAGGAACGUCGGAUCGCGACAAGGCUUGGUUCGUUGGAUUCGGGACUUCAAGAGGAAUCCACGAAGCCCUCAUUUGCCAGAUUUGGUGAAGGUUAGCUCAGUCGAAUCCCAUUUCUACUCAGCUGCUGUGGAUUUUGGACUGAAUUGAGAAAUUUUGGUGUUUUAAUUUGGAGUUAGCUCGAUUUCGAGACUCGGGCGUUUUUGGUCGAUCCAGCAGGUGGUGUCGCAGUUGAGGGGGUUCUGUGCUGCCAGGGAUUAGCGUGUGAGGUGGGUUACAUCGGCUUUACUCCUAAGUUCUUAUUGGUCGACAUGUAUAGAUCUUGAUUUCGGUAAAUUAUGUUAGCUCAAAUUCAUGGACUAUAUGUAGAUUGUGAAAUCUGAAUUUUGGAGCAUGUUUUAUAAAUUAAGUAGAUUAUACAUGUUGGACUUGAAAAUUGAAUUAGGAGAAAACCUGCGAUUUGGACCUGUCACCAGUUUUAACUACCUGAUUUAGCUCUAGGAGCCGUUAGAAAAUUGUACUGUCACAGUUUCUUCGAGACGAGUACUCCAGGUAGUUUAGAAUAUAUUUACACUCGUGCUGGUUCGCCGAGUGGAUUUUUACAGGGUCGUUCAGGUCGUUUCGGACUGUUGGGUGCCGUCAGAGUUGACGGUGGACCCGUAUCGCCUUUUUGGCGUCAGAUUGUGCCGAGGGCACGUUACCUGUUGGUUGUUAGACCAGUUUGAGUCGAUUACUUGACUUUGGCUAGUUGGAGCCUGAUUGAGCUCGACAGAGAUACGCUGCAUACUCGGUUGGGUAGCGCCCACGAGUGCCACUCCGGAGUCAGGCUUGUGCUUUUGCGUUGGUGUCGCUCAUGCCAGUUGGACUUGCUCUCCACGGACCAGUUAGUGUGGAUAGAGCCCGAUAGUCGCAACGGGGCAGGGACGGGUGUAUUCACAGUCCCGGGGACGGGUAUGCUUACAGUCCCGAUUGGAUUGGGUCAGAUUUGACAUUUCCUACAGUUGGUUAGUGUAGAGCAUGAUAGUGUAGUGGAUGAUAGCGGUAGAGUAUGCUUCCUGCUUUCCUUCUAUCCUUGCUCCCUUCUGUAGACUUAGUGGGUGACCGAUGUUGUUUUGGGCGGUACCCACUGAGGACUACUUGUUUUUACAGUAGUUCUCACGCCCAGUUGUUACCUAUGUUUUUGCAGAGCCACAGGUUCCGGCUGCUGCACCGUCCGUGGAUCAGGAUCGAGGCAAGGGCGUCGCGAGUUAGAGCCCUACCCGUCGUGCUGAGCUAGAGGUGCCCUACUGCAGGUAGAUGUUUUGUUUCGAGUUUAUGUACAUAGUUGACUUAACUCGCCAGUGCGAGUAGCACUGUAUUUUGGAUCUGAACUAUGUAUAUGAAACUCUGUUUUAUUUAGCUUCUGUUUUCUCUAGCAGCUCUCUACUACUGUUCGUAGUAGUGUUUGAUUUACAGGUACAGCUAUCGCUUCGUAUACAGGGAAAAUUUCUUUGUAUACGGUGGAUUUGUCGGCGUGCCCGGGGAACGUGUAAUCCGGGGCGUGACAUAGAUGGUGCUAGUGAGUUGCUGGUAAUGAGCUAAAGAUAGGGCUCGAGGUAGGGAUGGAAAUGGUAGACUGACUUUCUCGGCAACGUGAGUAGCCGCUUGCGAGUGUCACGCCUCGAGACCCGUCGCUUUGGUCGGAUUUGACGCGCCAACAGAACACUGAAUGAACAGAGUUUUUCCUGUCUGUCUAAGACGUCACAAUCAGUACAAUUCAAGUGGUUCCAAACAGGAACAUAAUUCAUACACAGAUUGCGUAAGGAAGGCAUCAUAAACAAAAAUACUAAGCUAUUACAAGCAUUCGUUGGCAUUCCAUAUUACAUUUACAUUCUUUUUGCUUCAAAAUACAAUCAACUUUAUUAUAAUUUGUUCAUUCCUUUCUAUACCCUACGCUAUGCUGACCUAGGGUAUACCUUUGGUAUCAAGUGGUAGGGCGUUAUCUACCAAGCUAUACCCUUUCCUCGCGCCGCCGCGCCGCUCAUGUAUGGACCUGAAAAACAUGAGGAUGAGAACUAAAAACAUAGGUAAACCAGUAGGUAAGGUCAUCCAAGGGAAGAGUUCGACCUACCAGGUCCAAAAGAGGCAACAUAAGCAAAUUAGUCCAACAUAUAUAAACAUAUAACUGUAAGCAACUAACAAACAUCAUGCUUAUGCCUAAACUAAAUGCAAUGUGAAAUCCAUGCAUUAAGAUCUACCAUUUCUACUUUCUAUUUUACAAUCUAUUGCAUUCACAAUCCGUUCCUAACGUUCUUUUACCUUAGCGAAGCUAUUUCACUUGACUCGAUCUUGAGUCAAUCAUUCACAACUUACCUCCUUAUUGACUUAACCAUCCGGCGACGAACUCGCCGCACACGCCAGACAAUGGCUCAAGUCGCCAGGCGGUGUAAUCCUUUACUUGACUUAGUCAUUUGGUGGCGAACUCGCUGCACACGCCAGACAAUGGCUCAAAUCGCCAGGCGGUGUAAUCCUUUGCUUGACUUAGUCAUUCGGCGGCGAACUCGCCGCACACGCCAGACAAUGGCUCAAGUCACUGGGUGGCGAAAUUGUUGCACGUACCCCGGGUUGUUAAGUCUUGUGUGUUGGCAAAUUUUGUGAAGUGAGUCGGAGUCUUGAAGGAUCGGUGCGUAUCGUCGAAGAUCGAAGAAUCCAAGACUUCGAAAAAAGCGGAAUUAACUCACUUUGUGAAUCACGAUGCCCAGGUAAGGUUUUAAUUUAUGUUAUGGUGAUUCAUACUUAGUUGUAGGCAUUAGAAUCAUAAUACCAAAGUUUACUGGAUUAGAAAGUGUGUUGGUACUUUGCAAAACCCGAAACUGUGCAAAAAUUGGGUUUUUGCAAAGUGUACCGGUACAACAUCGGAAGUGUACCGGUACAACAUCGGAAGUGUACCGGUACACAUUCUGUUCCGGUACAGCAAGCGACUUGUCACCGGUAACAUUUUUACGCAGGUUUUCUCUUCCGUCAUCGUGUAACCGGUAACAGCUUAAAGUGUACCGGUACACAAUGUAAUUUUCAAAAAAACUUUCUGAUCCGACUCCAAUUGAAUCUAAAGUCUAUAAAUAAGCUAUUGCGGUUCUCUAACAUAUUAAGCAUCACGAAAAUACAUGUUUUAGAAACCUUCGAGGCUUGGAUUUCAUCUAAAACCUAUUUUCUACAUAUUAGCUUCUUUUAGGUCAAAUCGAGAUAUUGGAAUUUCAUAUCUAUAUGUCGAUUUGAUCUUCGCUUCGCUUGGAGUUUCCUUCCCUGGUUUUCAUCGAUACUCUAAACGAAGGAUCACCAUACACAUGAUGUUCUUCAUGACGGCGUCAUGCAUUCGGCGUGAUUGACGACGGUUCGUGGAUUCGGAUCGUGAGCUUCGUGGAUUCGGAGUGGAGGCGUUUCGUGGAUUCAGAACGAGGUGUUCGUGGAUUCGAACGUGUGGGCGUGGAUAACCCGGAGGAUUGCGCAAGAUUCAUAGGAGAUUAAGAGAGGUCGAAUCCGUGGAGUCGGUAAUCACCUUGUAAUCUUUUCUCUUAGUGAAUUAUUUUUUCGUGUGUUGGUCCCGUGGGUUUUUCUCCAAGUUGGAGUUUUUUCACGUAAAUCUCGGUGUGAUUUUUAUUUUUCGCAUUUAUUUAUCGCAUUGAGAUUUGUGGUUUUUCGCUAUUACACCUAUUCACCCCCCUCUAGGUGUUAGAUACAAUCUAGAUAGAUCCUUGGGCACCUCAAAACUUUCAUUUGGUAUCAGAGAGGGAUCUAGAUAUAUUAAUAUCUAAUGGCCGAAGGCGGUAAUAUUAAUCAACCACCGCUCUUUGACAGCACAAAUUAUGCCUAUUGGAAAGUUCGCAUGAGAGCUUUUCUAAUCGCAAUCGAUGAGCGGGUGUGGAAAGCAGUUACGCAUGAAGGAACAAGCUUAGUAAAAGUUCAAAAAUUACAAAUGCUAACAAGCAAAUUUGACUCGAUUUUUAUGGAAGAAAACGAGACCUUUACCGAGUACUAUAAGCAUCUACAAGACGUAGUCAAUACAUGCGCUAACUUGGGAGAGAAAAUUUCGGAUGCUAAAGUUGUUAGAAAGAUUCUUCGAACACUUCCGGAACGCUUUCGGGCAAAGGUUGUCGCGAUCGAAACCGUUAAGCAUCCGGACGAGAUGAAAGUAGAGGAAUUAGUAGGCACUUUACAAACGUAUGAGAUGACUUUUCCUACUAACCCAUCUUCUUCCAAGUCUUCUUCUAAAAGUACAGGAAUUGCACUCAAAUCGACAAAGAAAGAAGACGACGAUUCGGAUUCCGACGGAGAUAUUUCGCUUGCCGAUUUCGAACAUCAACUUGCGCUCCUCACAAAGAAGUUUCGCCGGAAUUUUCGAAAGAGCAAAUCGAAAUAAACCUUCAUCUUCGAAGCAUAAAUCCUCUUCUAAGCAUUCUUCUAAUUUAAAAUCUAAGGAUAAAAAACUUGCAAUGUUUUCGAAUGAAAAAGACGAAUUUGAAAGGGAAAUCCAAUGCUACAAAUGUAAAUGCCAGGGUUACAUUGCAACGGAUUGUCCUUCUAAGAAGACUUAUAGACAAAAGGCUUUGCAAGCAAAAACCUGGGAUGAUUCUACUUCGAGUGAAUCAUCUCCAAGUGACGAAGAAAAAAAUCAUCAUAUUGCUUUACUUGCUAAUAAUUCUUUGCCUUCGUCUAAUGUUAUGUGCUUAUCUUCAAUUGUUUCUAAUUCUAGUAUUUCUCCUUCCGUGCAAGGUACUUCGAGCGAUAUCGGUGAAAGUGAGGAGGAAUCAAACGACGAGGAUAUAGCGGAAGCAUACAACCAACUUCUUAUUGAUUCGAAAAAGAUGACCAAGCACAAUAAGAAGUUGAGGCGUCGUUUAUUGGACAUUGAAGAGGAGAAUAAAAAUUUGAAGACCAUGAAUAGUGCUCUCGAGGAGGAAAGGGAAUCAAAUUUGAAAGAUCGUUCAAUCCUCCAAGGAAGCUUGAUGAAGCAGAAUCAACUAUCAAAUCUUAUAAAGACAAGAUUGAAUUUUUGGAGCAUCAAUUUGAGGAAUCGCACAAAUCCAAUCAAUCAUUGACCGAUCAAGUUCGUCAACUCUAAUCCGAUCUUCAACAAUUUUCUUCGGGAUCAAAGAAGUUGGACCAUAUGCUUGGGUUGGGUCAAACGAGCAAGUUGGGCCACAGAUAUGAAAGAACAUGUGUUGAGAAGGAUAAAGAAGUAAUACAUAAAGUCUUAACAACUUCAAAAGAGAAGGUGUGUCAUAAAUGUGGCAUCAAAAGACACAUUAAAACGAAUUGCCCAAAUAAGAAAAAGAAGAAUCAAUCGGCAAUGUCUAAACCUCAAUUGGCAUCAUCUACAACUCGGCUUCCCCCACGGAAUCAAAAGAAAAAUCAAGUGAGUCGAGUACCUCGAGGGAACCGGACUUCUAAGCCGCAACGUCAAGUUCGACCAUACCCACAAGCAAACCGGAGUUCAAAGGUUCAUCAACAAUUCCAACUGAAGCCUCAAGCAACGAAACGACCAACGGUUGAUCAAAAAUCAAAGCAAAUUGUGCCUAACGUCGACAAGACAAGACAACGCAAAAUCCGACAAGUUUGGAUUCGGAAAGGUGAUGUCUUUCCUUGCUCUCCGUCUUAGUUUGUUUUGAUUGUUUAUGUAAUGCUUUGUUUGGUGCUUGUUGCAUAUUUUUUUUCAUUGCAUUACAUGAUGAUUUUCGUGUAUGAAAUUUAUUUUUAAAUUGAUUUGAGGAAAAUGGUUUGGGAAUUUAAAAUGUUUUUUUGUGAAAGGAGAUGAUUGAAAAUCUUUAUUUUGGGAGAUUAGAUUUUUUUCAAAGUGCCUUAAUCGGAAUUCAUCUUGAAUUAAAUUCAUAUUUAUUAUCGAUUUUACUCCACUUUUUGUUAUUUUGACGAUAAUUGAUUAUAUGAAUUCUUAAUAUAUUUAUUCAUCAAAAUUUUGAAAUCAAUUUUGAUCUUUUGGUGAUUAAUUCAUCUUGGUUGUGUGUGUUGAAUAUGAUGGAUGCAUAUUCACUAAUCGACUAAAAUUUUGUUAAAAUUAUUUUCAACUGUGAGAUUGUCUAAUUUAGGGAGAGUUUGAAUUAUUUUAAAAAAAAGAGAAAAGAUACUCCUAUAUUUAAAAGAUGUGGAAAGAGUUGCCUCUUAAAAGGAGUAUGAAAACUACCAUCACAUGUAGGAAAGAGCUACCACCCCGGUCGUCCGGCAAGUGCGUGAAGCUACCACAUGAAAAUUAAUUAAAAAGCCGAAAAGGUUAAAGAAAUUGAAUAUUUUAGACUUUUUCGGAGUUAUAAGGUGAUAGGAUGAAAAGAUGCUCAAAGAGCCACUCCCGGUGCCAUAUUAGUUAAAUCUCUAUUUUGAACGAGUUGCGACAAAUUAGUGUCAAUUUUGUUGAAUUUCUAAAAAUCAUUUUUCAUCAACUUACAUCUUGAUGGUUUUUGAAACACUAGAUUAUAUUAGAUUUCCAAAUUUUGAUGUUUUAAUGUAUUUUGACUUCCUAUAAUACUUUACUAUCAUCAUAAUGAUUUUUGGAGUACAAUUUGUAAGUUUUGGGGUAGCCCAGGGAUCUAUCUAGAUUGUAUCUAACACCUAGAGAGGGGUGAAUAGGUGUAAAAGCCGAAAACCACAAAUCUCAAUGCGAUAACAGUAAAUGCGGAAAAAUAAAAAUCACACCAAGAUUUACGUGGAAAACUCCAACUAGGAGUAAAAAACCACGGGACCAACAUGCGAUAACAAUCCACUAAGAAUAAAAUAUUACAAGGUGAUUUACCGAUUCCACGGACUCAAACCUCUCUUUUAUCUUCUCCGGAUCUCGCGCACACCAACGGGUUGUCCACGCCCCACGUCCGAAUCCACGAAUGCCACGUCCCGAAUCCACGAAACGUCCACAUUUGGAAUCCACGAAGCCUUGAUCACGCCGAAUCCAUGACGCCGACUCGAAUCGACGAGCACGCUCCGUCUGGAGCAAAAAUACCAAGAUUGAUGAUGAUUUAUUGCUUAGACAAUCAUUAAAGAACUGUAGAAGAUGUUUCUAAGCAAUAGCCGGAUCAAUUCCCCAUGAAGAACGAGAAAUUUUGAGUUACACGAAUUGAUCCGAUAGAAACUUGUUGUUCGAGAGAAGAAAGAAUGCACCCAACAAGUUUCUAGGGUUGCAAAAAGAUAUUCUAUCAUUCGUUAUCUCUUAGAAACGCCCAUACAUCUUAUUUAUAAGUUUAGAAGACUUAGAAACCAACUAGGAUUGCAAAAAUCCAAUUUUAAAAACUUAUGUCGUCCUCAUGGACCGGUCCUCUCAAGGAGACCGGUCUGUCAGAGACCAGUGCCUUGGGUGGGAGACCGGUCCCUCGCUGCGUGAUAGAAAACACAACGUUCGGGAACUGGUCUCUCAUGCCAGAAACCAGUCUCUCUCUUAGAGUCAAAAAUCCCAACGUUCAAGAACCGGUUUCUCAUGCCAGAGACCGGUUGCACCGACCAGGAGACCGGUCCCUCAGAUCAGGAAACCGGUUGCCUUGAACUUUCACGCAGAGAGGACUCUCGGGAACCGGUCUCUCAUCUCAGGGGACCGGUCCCAGCACAUUGAAAAAUUCAGUUUGUCCAGAUUCAUAUUUUAAAAACCAUCCUAAGUCUUCGAAACACUUUUAAACAUUUAUAAAUCAUCAUCAAUGGUUUUUAAACUUACCAAGCAUUAUGCAUUCAUGUUUUGAGUCUUCGAGUCUUCGAUCUUCAUCUCUUUUUCUUCAAACAUUCAAGACUAUGACUAACAUCACGAAAUAUGCCAACAUAAAAUCCGUAAUAAUCUCCCCCUUUGACAAUUUCGUGACAAAACUAAAAAAUACAUCAAAAUACUCACAAUGCUCAACUCUCCAAAAAAAUGAAAUUCAUUGCCAUCACCAAAACAAUGAACUUCUUGCGUGAAAAAUCCAAAGAAAAUACAAAAUUAUAAUUUCGCAACUCCUAAACAAACUCUAUGACUUAAAUACAAGGAGUCUUGAAGUCUUCGAGAAUCUGCAGAAAGAAUACAAAGAAUAUUUUCUCCUCGAACAGAGUUAGUAAAAAAAAAAUGAACAUCUCUCCCCCUUUGUUAAUGAAAAUCUGUCCCCCUCUGUUCAUGCAUCCUUUGUUAAUAAAAAUCUGUCCCCCUUUGUUCAUGCAUCUAAAUAUGAUCAAUAAAAAUUCACAUGAAAAAAUUGAAAAUCUCUUCUCUCUCUCUCUCCCUUUUUGUAAUGUACCGAAAAUUCGAAAAAUAAAUAUCGAACUUUAGUCAAAUUGACCAAAGUGCGAGGAUGGAACACUUCGGAAAGUCCGAAGGUGUUAAAAUGAUUAAAAGUGAGUUGUGGAAGGUUUUCGAGAGCUAAAGAAUUGAAUUCUGCAAAACUGCAGAUUUUCAGCUCUCGGGGACCGGUCCCUGUGGUUACGCAGCCUUUAUGGGGGUUAAUCCAAAAAUCUCCCAGUUAACGUGUAUCUUUGGAAGUACUCGUUUUCGGGGUUAAACCCACGGGAUCGAGGUAACAUAUAGUUUUGGAUCCCAAACUAGAGUAACCCUUCGUUUUCAUCGAAGUAAUAUGAGAUUUAUUGGGUAAUCUUGGUAAGAAUCCGAAAGGUUUUGGGAUCAAACCUAAAGUGGUAAUCUCCACCAGGUUCGAGUGGAUAUAUCGUUUUGAUCCAAAACUAGAGAAAUCUUCGUUUUCUUUCGAAGUUUUGAUGAUCUGUAAGGUAAUUUUUGGUAAAGAUACAAGUAAGUUUGGGUAAAGAUCCCAAAAUGAUGUAAUCCCAAGUUUCGAAUGGAACAUUCGAGAGGAAAGAACGGGAUCUCUCCUUCUUCUACUUCGGGGAAAACGAGAAACUAGAAGAAGAAGUGAAAGGAGAGGAAGAAAAGGAAGAAAGGGAACAGAAGAAGAAGAGGAAGAAACAGAAGAUCUCUCUCUUUCUCUCCUCUCUCACACUCUCCCUCACCUUACUCUCCUUUUCGGGGAGUCGGGUGAUGUAUCGAGUUACCCAACGUUUUUACGUUCUUUUGGGGAGUUGAAAAUAGAGACACGUGACGGACCUGACCCGUCAAAAGCGUCCGUCUCUGGCCAGAGGGGCUCGUCCCUGGCCAAGGGCUUGCAGGUGGGACGCGUCGGUCUCAGCGACGCGCGCUACGCUGGCCAGAGGGAGGCUACCCUGGCCAGAGACCCCCUGGCCAGAGAGUCCAUCUCUGGCCAAGGGCUCUCGAUUAGAAGGUCCUGAAUCGGCUAAAAAGCCGACAGAGUCAAGUAUGCGCAAGCCCCUGGCCAGAGAGGGAAGNCAAAUUGGCAUCGGUCCCGGGGCGUGACACUUUUUGUCAAAAAUUGCCAAAAGCAAGUACCAAAAAUAGAGAGUACCAAUAAUGUUAGUGCAUGAAUAGGAUAAAUUCACAUAGACUUUCGAAAGAACCAGAAAGGAGCACUUUGAAGAACUGUGGCCUCUUCGGAUUGUUGCAGCUCCUUCCAGAAGCCAUUAACCCUUUUAUUUUCUUUUUCUUUUCAUUUUCCAUAUUUAUCGUCGAGAAACAAACGUGCCCUGUAACAGAUUUUAAGAAAGAGAAAGGAGAAGUUUUGAUAAAGUUUGGAGAAAGAUGGAAAACCUGUAACCGGUUUUAAAACUGUGGCUACCAAUACACUUUGCUGGAUUUCAAAAAUUUUGAAUUAUAAAAACCUUUUAAACUUAAAUUAAUUUCAUACGAAUUAAGGACUUUACUCCAAAAAUCAUUAUAAUGGAGGUAAAAUAUUAUAAGAUUUCAAAAUAC
rnacentral:lncRNA from 1 species